AUGCUCACCAGCUGCUCGUCGGCGGCUCCUGAUGCGGCACGCCGGAUGGGGGCGCGGCGGUGCAGGGUAAUUGUUGUUGCGAUGCAGCGCUCAUCACUGGCUGCCAGGGUUGCAAUGGAGCUUCGCCGGAGUUGCUGUGGAGCUUCGUCGGAGCCGGGUGUACCGUUGGAGCUCCGGCGAGGCUGCAAUGGAGCUCGGCCGGAGUUGCAAUGGAGCUUCGCGUGGAGCUAUCGGUGUUGCAUUGGAGCUACGCCGGAGUUGCAAUGGAGCUUGCUGGAGUUACGCCGGAGUUGCAAUGAAGCUUUGCAGGAGCUGUCAGUGCUGCGUUGA
rnacentral:rRNA from 1 species